UGAGCCAGAUUCGGAGCUGCUGUAAGUCUGGGUAGGUCCCUUGACUUCAGUGGAGCUACAGUGAUUUACAUCAGCUGAGGAGCUAACACUUUGUCCUUGUUUAUACAAAAUGUCCUCAAGUCCAGCAGCUUAACACAGGACCCCUCUUCCCUUCAAAAGACAGCCGAAGACAAAUACAUCAAUGCAGAGAGUAGUAGUAAAGGGGAGAAUAUGGUCCUAAAAUCAAGCCAAAAAGUGCUAUCGGCAAUCAACUUAAUUAAUGAAGAUGCUGCAAGGAUCCUUCCAGAGCUGAACUCUUACAGGGAAGAAAGGAUGGGUAAACCAAACUAAUGCUCAAAACUAAAAUGUCUUAUUUCGGAGUUCAACUCACUGACAUUCAUAUCAACUUCUUACAAAUACUACAAGGACUCAAAAACUACUGGGAAUAGAUUUAGUACCAGUCAUAUGUAAGGAAAGUCACAUUUUAAAGGGAUGGGAAGUAAAUGUUGGACCUCUUCCUAACAUUGCCUGCUAAUUGAGAUGAAGACACUGAGACAUGAAUAAAUGGGCAUGCCUGCUGAAAUUGGCACUCAGAUCUUCUGGAAAAUGAGCCCUAUACAAAAAAAGCACUGCAAUUAUUUUAAGAACAUGGAGAAGUUGUCCCCAAGGAAAAACAUGAACUCAUUAUUACCUUAGUGAAGGCUCGGUAGCAUAAGCCACACAGUUCCACCAGGUAGGCCAGCGUGAAGACAGCAUUCUGAAUGACAAAGCUUAGUAAUUUUGAAAAUG